rnacentral:rRNA from 1 species
UACGGAGGGUGCAAGCGUUAUCCGGAUUCACUGGGUUUAAAGGGUGCGUAGGCGGACAACUAAGUCGGAUGUGAAAUCCCCAGGCUCAACUUGGGAACUGCAUCCGAUACUGGAUGGCUUGAAUUCGGGAGAGGGAUGCAGAAUUCCAGGUGUAGCGGUGAAAUGCGUAGAUAUCUGGAGGAAUACCGGUGGCGAAGGCGGCAUCCUGGACCGACAUUGACGCUGAGGAGCGAAAGCUAGGGGAGCAAACGGG